UUUUUGACCUCUCUGUCUGUUUGACAGUUUAUCUGUUUGUCUGUCUGUUAUAAACUUUAACCUUUGCCAUAACUUUUGAACUGUUAGAGAUAGAGACUUCAUAUUUGGUAUGAAUACUACCCUAAUUAAGCACUUUCAACAAUGUUUUUUUAAUGACCUUGACUGUGACUUGUAUGCUAAAAAUAGCUUUUUUGAUUUUUUGCAAUUACUUCUAAACCAUAAGAGAUAGAGUCUUCAUAUUUGGUAUGCAUACUCCGAUAAUUGAGCUUUUUCAAGUAACAUCAAGGCCAAUGACCUUGCGACCUUGUUUGUGACCUAUAUGCUGAAAAAUAGUUUUUAAAGCAAGAUUUCAGAGAAGUACCGUAUAUGUCUUUUCUUAUUCGUUUGUCGGGGGUAUUAGCCCUAUUUGGACAUUUUUAGCUCACCUGAGCCUUCAGCUCAAGUGAGCUUUUCUGAUCACAUUUUGUCUGUCGUCCGUCCAUCUACCUGUCCGUCUGUCUGUUUGCUGUUAACUUCACAUUUUCAACUUCUUCUCAAGAACCAAUGGGCCAAUUUUAACCAAACUUGGUACAAAGCAUUCUUGGGUGAAUGGGAAUUAAAAUGUCACAAUAAAGGGCCAAGUCCCCUUACAAGGGGAGAUAAUCAAGGAAAGAUAAAAAUAGGGUGGGAUCACUAAAAAAUCUUCUCAAGAACCACUGGGCCAGGAAAGCCGAAACUUGUGUGGAAGAAUCCUUGGGUAGUGUAGAUAUUAAAUUGUUAAAAAAGUCAUGGUAGGCGAAACUUAUGGGCCACAAUAGAGAAUCCAAAUUUUACAUAGAAAUAUAUAGAACAAAUCUUUAAAAAUCUUCUUCUCAAGAACCAGUAUGGCAGGAAAGCUGAAACUUAUGCAUCCUUGGGUAGUGUAGAUUCUAAUGUUUUAAAACCAUAAAAGGGAAGGGGUAGCGGGGCAUGAUAGAUAUUGCUAGAGGGGGACUCUGGUAAAGAACUGCAUCACCAUAGUUACUCAGGUGAGUGAUGUAGCCCAUGGGUCUCUUGUUUUAAUUAUACACCACCAUUUGAACAUUUGAAUUUUAUACUUUAUCAAUUCUGUUUUACAAGAAGACAUCUUUUUAAACCUGUCAAUAACAUAUUGAAUUCUUAUUGUACUUAUUAUAUACAUACAUGUAUACCAGGUAUAUGUUUACUUUCUUAAGAUUUUAUUUGUAAAAACUAAAUAAUUCCUGAACUUUUGCUAUGACUACAGUUAGUGCUGAAUUUUUAAUGAAUGUUUGAAUUAAAAUGAAAGGUCAUAUUCAUAAAAAAAAUGCAUUUUUGACCAUAACCAGUAUAUUGAUCAACUCUUGAACUGUUGAAUUUUUAUAUCUGUAGAUUUGUAUAAUUGUGAACAACUCUUUUCAUGUAUAUGUAUAAGAACUCUACUUCUGAAUACAGUAUAUAGUUUGUAAAGUUCUUUUGGUUUUUUAUUUACUUUUAUUAUUGUUAUAAGUAAUCAUGUACAUUCAUUUUGUAGUUUAUUGAAUUAUAAGAUAUACCUUGUCCAUUCUGAGAAUAAUGAAUUACCAUUUAAAGAGUUCAGAUAUCUACAAACAAUAAUGAUGUUUCAGAAUUUGAAAAUCAUCUGUCCCUUAAAGUAACGUUGGAUUGUAAUACCAAUUUUAACUGGAUUUUGUGUGGGGAACUUUUGUUAAUCUGAUAUUUAGUGAUCUCUCUUGAAGGACAUUGAAGGAUAUGCUUCGAUAGACAGCACUGAUUGUGACUCUAGACCAUGCCAAUAAUUUUGAAUCUAUCUGACUCUUUCAGCUACUUUGUGUGUCAUCUUCUCAUAAUAUUUGCCAGAUAUAUCCUUCUAAAAAUUAAACGUGUGUGAUCUUAAAAAUGUGGAUACCACUGAGUUGGAUUUCUUCAUUGACUGUAUGACUUUUAUCUUUUGUUGAAAUAUUUUGAACUUUAUUUUGAUCUGUGCCUUGUUUAGUUUUCUUAAUUUGAUACUAAGAAAACCAUGAUAAAACUGGACAUACAAAAUAUUAAUUAUAUUGUUCACUUAAUUAUAUCUUAUUUAUGCUUUGUCAACUUCUUUGUAAAUAUGCUUUUUUCAAAAUAAGAACUCAUACAGUUUAAAAAUGUCAUUAAAUUGUCACACCUAUAGUUGAACUUAAAAUAUAAAAUCUCAGAAUCCCUGAUUCAAAUGAAUACCACAUAGAUCAUGUAGAUUUUGUGAGCAUCAAGUGAUGCCUUCCAGUAGAUCAAAUGUAAUAUAUAAAAAAUGUUUAAUUUACAGGUAAGUAUGAAAAGAGGGGGUCAAUGGCCAGCCCGUAAAGGGAGGUAAACCUACCUCUUUUAGAAAAUAAUAAAAAUACUGAUAAAUAUGAUGGCACAUUAUGCUACAUUAUAAUAAAAAAAAUUAAGAUGAAUAAAAAAAUAUUCCCAUAAAAUUUCAACAUGAUUAUUUGAAUCAAGGGUUCUGUUAAUAUAAAGUGCUAUGCAUAUUUUUGUAACACAUGAAAACCCCUUUUUUCCCAAUCACUUACACAUAACCUUUCCCGUUUUCGCUUUCAUUGGAAAAGGUAUGUAUAUUGAGUGAUUGUGUUUUUCUUAAUUGACCAAUAUAUUUAAGACAAAAAUGCAUAUUUGACUGCAUUUUCAAAUGAUUUUUUUCCCAUUCUAUAUACAGUUAUACUCGUCAUCAAGAUUUAUUGUCAUUAGCAAUUUUAUGUUUUAGAUUUAAUUAUACAUCUACUGAUUUUAUUAAUGCAUGUAUGUAUUUGACUUAAUUACUACUUCACAUGUAUGUGAAAGUAAGUUUCAAGAUAAGUAAUAUAUUCAAAUUGUAUAUUCUAAUAUCAAAUGUGUCAACAUAGUGUAAUGUUCCAUAUUGUUAAUCGUUGUAUCUGUCGUUUUACUAAAAAAGAAAGAUCAUAUUGUUACCUGCAGAUAAUCACUAGCUAGCUAUAAACUUGCAUAACUUUCUUGUUCCUGAAUAAAGUUUUAAGCACAGUCAAA